rnacentral:rRNA from 1 species
CCCUUAGAUGUUCUGGGCCGCACGCGCGCUACACUGAUGCAUUCAACGAGUUUCUUCCUGGUCCGAGAGGAAUGGGUAACCUUUUGAAAGUGCAUCGUGAUAGGGAUAGACUAUUGCAAUUAUUGGUCUUCAACGAGGAAUUCCUAGUAGAUGUAGUUCAUCAGACUGCAUCGAUUACGUCCCUGCCCUUUGUACACACCGCCCGUCGCUCCUACCGAUUGAAUGCUCAGGUGAGCCAUUCGGACUUUCAUCAUGCUGGUUUCCAGUUUUGAUGAAGGAAAGUCUUGCGAACCUUAUCAUUUAGAGGAAGGAGAAGUCGUAACA